CCUCCAGGGUAAAGGGCAGGUUUUCCCACAGGGAUUGAUCUACCCAGAGCUAUGGCUCAGGAUCAGCAAUCACUUACCCUACCACUUAUAGAUUACAGAAAAAAAUAAGGCUGAGAGCUCUUGAUAUUUAGUUGAAUUUCCCAGACUAACCUAUAUCACUGAAUAAGUAAGUGAGAUUUGAAACACUUUACUAUUACCUUUCAUAGCCUUUGAAAAAGUUUUAAGUUAAAAGUGGAAGGCAUGGUAAGAGGCUAAAGUCAGAAAACAAUCCUUAUUCAAUUCAUUCAAAAAAAUCUUUAUUGGAUGUACAUUAUGUGCCAGCCACUAUUCAAUUACCCAAGCUUACAACCUAAUUUUAUCUCAAUCAUAAACAUCAAUAAUUUUUCAGUAUUUUAAUAUAUACUGAAUUUUUCAGAAUCAUAACUACCAUUUUGAGAAAUGAUUGUUCUUUGUUUCAUUUUACGCUUGGUUUGGAAGUUUUCCAAGAGUUGCUCACCAUUUCUCAAAUCACUUUAAAGAUGGCAAUGCUGCUCAUGGCCUGUCAGCUGCCAAUACAGCACACCUGGAUCAGUCUGAAUUUGAACUGUCCCAUUCACAUGAUUCUACAUGGAUAUCCAGCCGUUCCAGCACAAUCUGGAGAAAAGGCAAUCUUCUCCCCACUGAAUUUCCUUUCUACCUUCAAAAAAAAUCAAUUGUCCCUAUAUACGCGGAUCUAUUCCUGGACUUUGUAUUUUGUUCUGUUUUGAUCUAUUUGUAUAAUAUGUCCAUACUACACAACCAGGUAGUGUUAGUCCUCCAUUUAUUCUUCUUCAGUAUUGUUUUGGCUAUUCUUGAUGAUUUGUGUUUCUAUAUAAGUUUUAGAAUUAACUUGUCAGUUUCUUAAAAAAAAUUUUAAAGCCUGCUGACAUUUUUGUCUGGAUUGCAUUGAAUCUAUAGAUUAAUUUUUUGAGAAGAAUGGACAUUUUAGCAAUACUGUUUUCCAACCCAUGAAUGAGCAUAUUUCUUCAUUUAUUUAGGUCUUUUAAAUUUUUUCUCAGCAAUGUUUUAAAAUUUUCAGUUCUUGCAUAUCUUUUAUUAAGUUUAUCCCAAAGGAUAUUUUAUCCUUUUGAUGUUGUUUUAAGUAAUUUUGUUUUAUUUCAAUUUCUGAUUAUUUUUAUUGUAUGGAGAUACAAUAGAUUUUUGUAUUAUAAUAUCAUGUCCUACAACCUUACUAAACUCAGUUACUGGCAAGUUGUUUUUUGUAGAUUCUGUCGGAUUUUUCACAGACAAUCAUGCUGUCUGCAUGACCAGAACCUCCAGUUUAUCUUUUUAUAAACCUCCAGUUUAUCAUUUUAUUUCUGAUCUCAAGAUAAAAGCAUUCUGUUUUUCACUGUGAACUAUUAAGUUAGCUAUAGAUUCUUGCUAACAGUUUUAUUGGGUAGAGAAAAUCCCUUUCUAUUCCUGGCUUGACAAAAUUUUUAUCAGAAAUUGAUGUUGUAUUCUUCAAGUGCUUUUUCUAUGUCUAUUGAGAUUAUCAUAUACUUUUUGGGUUUUUUACAUUGUUAGUAUAGUGAAUUAUAUUAAUUGAUUUUUAAAUUAAAACAACCUUAAGUUUCUUGGCAUCAAUCCUUCCUCCUGACUCUGAGGUUUGUGAGAUAUGAGAGACAUUUAAGACAUCUGUUAGCCAAGCGAAAUGUAAAGCACAGACUCAGAAAAAUGGGAAGUGGUAGGAGAGCUUUCUGACUACAGAGAGGCCAAUCAGAAGGUGUAGGGGAAGAGUUAUGCUAGUAGACUACAAGGCCUGGGACGGGCUGAUGGUGAGUGGCAUGGGCUACACUAGGACAAGAAGGUUCAGAGCAUUAAGAGACACAAAUAUGGUUGAGGAUUAAGCCAUUUGGAGAAUUUACACUAUGGACGUUGACUGAAAAUUGAAAAAUAAAGAAACAGACAAAAAAUGAUGAGUAGCAGAUAGAUGGCAUGCUCUGAGAGUCCAGGCAUUAAAAGCAUCAUCCCUGGAAGGUGUCAGUUGCAGCAACAGCAAUAUCUGCAGGAUUUGACUGUAGCAUUUUCUAAACAGCUCACACCCUGUGGUCUCCAUAUGUGCAGGUUCUUAGGAUAAAGCACAUCCCAGAGGUUGUGAUAUCUGUCAUAGUCUAGGCCAGAGAUGGUCACAGAGACUCAAGCCUGAUUUUGACAGCUGUUGAAUUUGAAGUACUAAACUCUUGGUCACUUGUUGUUUCAGCAGGAUACCAUCUGUUUUAUCUCCAAUCAGUCUUUGCCACCUUAGCUGUUGAUAUUUCAUCCGUGAACUUUCAUUUGGCAUCUGGUGAUAUGCUCUUUGGCAGCACAGUUCCAUGAAGUCAAAGGUCUUCCAGUUGCUUCUGGACUCCCAUACUGGCUUCUGUCCAUCUGCAGUGACAUUAAAGCUACUUAUGCUGCUCCCAACCUGCCCUACAACACAAGUGGACUAAGCAUCUAUCUGCAGACUCUCAGAAUGGCAUAACCUAACUAUUGGAAACGUUUUUGCACCAUUCCUCUGUCCUGCUGUCCCAUUACUGGCCUCCCUACUUUAGUCGGUUGAUCCAGCCCCAACCAUUCCCACUGAGGUUAACUUUGCUAUAUCCAAUCGCAUCCAAAGAUAGAAAUCACAAUGCAAAAUGUCAAGGCCUUUUAAACUAUUAUACUUUGGACAAGCCCUGAUACUCAUCUUUUCCAUUGCUAACAUGGGAUAGCUAUAUGAUCAAUAAUAUUAUACUUAUGCUCAUUUGCACUUGUGUCUGAACAGAUAUGUUUAAGUCACACUCGAAGAAUUAAUAUGGUAGCCCGAGUAAAAUGGACUAGUUUGACUUCCAUUUCAUUUGACUACAGCCAACUUUGUUGGCAUGUAGAGGUAAGCAGAGGACAAGCCCUAAAGAGUGUGAUCUAUUUUUGCAAUAAAACGCCAUCUCCAAAUGGGAAGCAAUUGAAACACCACAUGCCAUAGUUUUACUGCAACAGGCCAAAAUCUCUAGGGCUGACAGACUAUUUAGGAUUUCUUGACUUCUCACAAGUGCAGAAUAUCCCCAAAACUUCUAAUCAUACUUGCAAAUAUCUUUUAGAUUAGUCCACGUUGACUAAAUGAUUAUUUAAAAGCAAUAAAACUUAUCAAAUAAAAUAUCAUAGAAGUUUGUAGUACGUGUAUAUUCAAGUUAAUGGUUCAGUGGGACAUCUUGAAAAUGUAUGUGCUGAAGACUGUCCUCUGAAAAUGGGGUUACAAACAGCUAUAUUUGCUCAACUCACAGGCAAGAUGAGUUCCAAUAAUGCGAAUUGCUCUAGAAUUCAUUAUAUUAUGCUUUCUUUGAAAUCUCAGUGUUAGAAGCCAAUGACUCCAAAAGCAGCCCUUUCUCUUUACUAACUAAAUGUCAGAUUACCAGAAAUUUUGAGUUUAGUAAUUUGAACUUUCUUAGUGAGAAACAGUUAAAGAUUUCUCCUUUUAAACUGUGCAUGGCAAAUUCUCCUUACCCAAAUUCUCAAAAGUUGUAAAAUCUACUGUCAUAUGGCACAUGGAAAGGACAUUAAAAAUAAUUUGGGCCAACCUCUUCAGCCUGGAUUUUGUGAGUUGUUUAAAAAGACACUUUUAAACUCUUGGUUCUGUGUUUAAAAUACAGUGAGUGAAAUUCAUAUUGAGACCACUAUAAGUUUUCCAGGGAUAAGAACCUAAGAAAUGGUUAGAGUUACUUAAAACUCUCUUAGGACAUUUCUGUAUAAAGCCUGCAUACAUAUACAUGCUCACAUGACCAACUAGAUGACAUACGGCCAGAAGGCACUCAAACUGCAGAUUCACCUUUGUAAAUCUUAAAUAGGAUAAAUUCUUAAAUUUGUAUUCAUCUAACAAUAAGCAUUUUGGAAAAUGUAUAAGAUUUUUUCUUAUUUUAUAUUAGUGUUUUUAUCAACAUUGUCAAGAGUAUUAUAUUGGUUAUCUAUUGUUGUAUAACACACUACCCAAAAACAUAAUGUUUGAAAAUGUUAUCAUAAUAAGGAUUUAUUAUUUCUCAUAAUUUUGUGGUUACUGUGGAGUGGUUCUUUUGUAGAACUUGUGUGGACUCAACCAUGUGACCACAAUCAGCUGAUGAGUUGGCUAGGGGUUGGACUCAGCUGGGAAAGCAGGGUCUCUCUCUGCAUGUCGUCUUUAAUCUUCAAGAAGGCUACCCUCCUUCAUAUGAUGGAGGGAGUGUUCCAAGAAGGCAAGCCCUAAUGCGCAAGUGGUUACCAAAUGUCU
rnacentral:lncRNA from 1 species